rnacentral:rRNA from 1 species
ACUAGUGAUUGGGUGGUAAUGCCGGAUGCUCCAGUUGAUCGCAUGGUCUUCUGGGAAACGUUUCGCGGUAUGGGAUGGGGUCGCGUCCUAUCAGCUUGACGGCGGGGUAACGGCCCACCGUGGCUUCGACGGGUAGCCGGCCUGAGAGGGCGACCGGCCACAUUGGGACUGAGAUACGGCCCAGACUCUACGGGAGGCAGCAGUGGGGAAUAUUGCACAAUGGGCGCAAGCCUGAUGCACGACGCCGCGUGAGGGAUGGAGGCUUCGGGUUGUAAACCUCUUUUAUCGGGGAGCAAGCGAGAGUGAGUUUACCCGUUGAAUAAGCACCGGCUAACUACGUGCCAGCAGCCGCGGUAAUACGUAGGGUGCAAGCGUUAUCCGGAAUUAUUGGGCGUAAAGGGCUCGUAGGCGGUUCGUCGCGUCCGGUGUGAAAGUCCAUCGCUUAACGGUGGAUCGCGCCGGGUACGGGCGGGCUUGAGUCGGUAGGGGAGACUGGAGUCCCGGUGUACGGUGGAAUCGAAU